UAGGUCUUCAAUGCCAAAAGUCAAGGCAAAGGGUGGGUGGGUAGAACAAUGAAUAGAGAAGCAGACUAGAAUUUAUAGGGAAUUUGUGGAAAUGGCAUCUCCAUCAGAAAGAUGAAUGGGCCCACAUCUUUUAUGCCUUCCUUAGUUCUUCCUGGUUGCCCUGCUUUACUUUUGGCAAUGACAUCACCUUACGUCAUCAUAUUCUAUGGCAGUUGUGCUCCUUGCCCCUUCCCUACCAACCAGCUGGUUACUAUAGGAACAGUAAUAAACAAUUUUGCAUCAUCCCCAUUCCAUUGCCUACUCUUUACCAGAUGCUUGUUCAGUUAGGAGUGGUGGUAGUGCUCUUUCCAGUGACAGAAAAAUACUUCCCCAGUCAGCUUAUUCACCAUGGCCGACUAGAAGCCCAAGAUGCAGCCAGAAAGAAGGCUCAACCAUUCCACAGGACAACCUCUUGCCAGGGUGAGGCCACUGUGACACCUGGAGGAACCCUUCAGAGCAUGAGAAGAAGCACUCCAUCUCAGGCCUCGGACUGGUUGAUGCUUCCAAAUGCUGUCUACCAAGUGACAUCUGGAUCAUUUAUCAUGGCACAGGCUGCAACCUGCACCAUGAGAGAAAGCAGAAGCGAACCGGUGAGCCAGUGCCAGACAACUUUACCUCUAUUAGCUCUUCACCACAUGUGGUCUCCGCUGCUACUACCGCCAUGACAUCCUCCUUUUGGUCAUUAGCUCUCACAGCAAGGUCCUCCUAUUCUGCUGGGAGCCCUUGAGCCAGUAAAGAUGGAGGCACAAGGCAACUGUAACAACUAGAGAUAAGUCCUUCCUCGAACCAACCAACCAGGCAUUGCAGAGCAAUGUAUGUGCU
rnacentral:lncRNA from 1 species